GACGGAGGAUGCAAGUGUUAUCCGGAAUCACUGGGCGUAAAGCGUCUGUAGGUGGUUCAAUAAGUCAACUGUUAAAUCUUGAGGCUCAACUUCAAAAUCGCAGUCGAAACUAUUGGACUCGAGUAUAGUAGGGGUAAAGGGAAUUUCCAGUGGAGCGGUAGAAAUGCGUAGAGAUUGGAAAGAACACCAACGGCGAAAGCAACUCUGCUGGGCCGACACUGACACUGAGAGACGAAAGCUAGGGGAGCGAAUGGG
rnacentral:rRNA from 1 species